rnacentral:lncRNA from 12 species
AAUCUGUAUUAUUCUGCAAGAUUUUGCCAACAGAAAAAGCCUUUGUACAUCAAAGUGGGUAGUGAGAGGCUGGGAUGAGGUUCUGUCAUGGGAGAGAAUGGGGCACACAGCAUUAGGGGGAAGUACUGUGCACUUAGAGAUGAGGUGCUCAAGGCUGUGGUAGUGGCAAGAGAGGCAAGGGGGUGCUGAGCAGGUGGG